GAUGAACGCUGGCGGCGUGCCUAAUACAUGCAAGUCGAGCGAACGGACGAGAAGCUUGCUUCUCUGAUGUUAGCGGCGGACGGGUGAGUAACACGUGGAUAACCUACCUAUAAGACUGGGAUAACUUCGGGAAACCGGAGCUAAUACCGGAUAAUAUUUUGAACCGCAUGGUUCAAAAGUGAAAGACGGUCUUGCUGUCACUUAUAGAUGGAUCCGCGCUGCAUUAGCUAGUUGGUAAGGUAACGGCUUACCAAGGCAACGAUGCAUAGCCGACCUGAGAGGGUGAUCGGCCACACUGGAACUGAGACACGGUCCAGACUCCUACGGGAGGCAGCAGUAGGGAAUCUUCCGCAAUGGGCGAAAGCCUGACGGAGCAACGCCGCGUGAGUGAUGAAGGUCUUCGGAUCGUAAAACUCUGUUAUUAGGGAAGAACAUAUGUGUAAGUAACUGUGCACAUCUUGACGGUACCUAAUCAGAAAGCCACGGCUAACUACGUGCCAGCAGCCGCGGUAAUACGUAGGUGGCAAGCGUUAUCCGGAAUUAUUGGGCGUAAAGCGCGCGUAGACGGUUUUUUAAGUCUGAUGUGAAAGCCCACGGCUCAACCGUGGAGGGUCAUUGGAAACUGGAAAACUUGAGUGCAGAAGAGGAAAGUGGAAUUCCAUGUGUAGCGGUGAAAUGCGCAGAGAUAUGGAGGAACACCAGUGGCGAAGGCGACUUUCUGGUCUGUAACUGACGCUGAUGUGCGAAAGCGUGGGGAUCAAACAGGAUUAGAUACCCUGGUAGUCCACGCCGUAAACGAUGAGUGCUAAGUGUUAGGGGGUUUCCGCCCCUUAGUGCUGCAGCUAACGCAUUAAGCACUCCGCCUGGGGAGUACGACCGCAAGGUUGAAACUCAAAGGAAUUGACGGGGACCCGCACAAGCGGUGGAGCAUGUGGUUUAAUUCGAAGCAACGCGAAGAACCUUACCAAAUCUUGACAUCCUUUGACAACUCUAGAGAUAGAGCUUUCCCCUUCGGGGGACAAAGUGACAGGUGGUGCAUGGUUGUCGUCAGCUCGUGUCGUGAGAUGUUGGGUUAAGUCCCGCAACGAGCGCAACCCUUAAGCUUAGUUGCCAUCAUUAAGUUGGGCACUCUAAGUUGACUGCCGGUGACAAACCGGAGGAAGGUGGGGAUGACGUCAAAUCAUCAUGCCCCUUAUGAUUUGGGCUACACACGUGCUACAAUGGACAAUACAAAGGGCAGCGAAACCGCGAGGUCAAGCAAAUCCCAUAAAGUUGUUCUCAGUUCGGAUUGUAGUCUGCAACUCGACUACAUGAAGCUGGAAUCGCUAGUAAUCGUAGAUCAGCAUGCUACGGUGAAUACGUUCCCGGGUCU
rnacentral:rRNA from 1 species